rnacentral:rRNA from 1 species
AUGGUGAUACCAAGUUACAAGUUUCCUCACAUCGAUAAAUUUGAUUCAGUACAGCCGUGCUCAUUUCAGAUUAAAGUACGCCUUCCGAAUGAUGAGACUGUCACUGGGUGGAUAGCGGAUCCUGAGAUAUAUGUUGAUUUUUUCAUUGUCAACGUCGCUGGUGUUAAUGCCACACAUGUCAGUCUUGACCGUGACAUACAGUUUGAGCCUUAUAGGAAGGUAGCAGCUGUAUGUCGCAAUUUCAAUUCAGGACUAUUAAUGGACACAAGCGGAGUAGAUCUUGCCUCUCCAAGUGCUCGACCUGAUCAGACAAUGUUCAGCACAUACCAGAUCGACAAGGUGGGGAUUGGAGGCCCCCUUGUUGAUUUUGAUGGCAACUUCGUUGGGAUGAACUGCUCCUGUACCAAAGAAAGAAAGACCCCCUAUGUACGAAGGGCUGCAAUUCUUCGAUUCUUGGGGGUUAACGGGAUGGUCAGUGUUAAGGACGUGGUCGAUGAUGCUACAAGAGCAUUCCUCAAAACAAUGGCAGGAGCACCAUGUUACAAUAUUCGAGGAGAAAACCAUAUUAUUAAUCGUCUCGAAGAUACAUUCGACGAGGAUAUCUUGCAUAAUCCAUGCAAAGGUGUUGUUUUAGAAAUGAAGGGAAGUGAUGGCUCUCUUCUGAAGAAAACUGCUGCCCAACUUGCUUCAGAAUCAAGCAAAAGUCUUGCUUCAGAAAUGAAUCGAAGUGUUGUCUCACUUGCUUCAUUCAAUGGAUUUGCAAAAAAAAGUUGCUUGCACAGGUGUAUUUAUAGAGUGCAAUGCAUGUUCUGCAACAAUUCUGACUUCGGCAAGUUUGGUUAG